rnacentral:rRNA from 1 species
GUGUUGUAAGUGUUUAAGAGCGCAUGGUGGAUGCCUUGGCACUGGGAGCCGAUGAAGGACGUGGGAGGCUGCGUUAUGCCUCGGGGAGCUGUCAACCGAGCGUUGAUCCGAGGAUGUCCGAAUGGGGAAACCCGGCACGAGUGAUGUCGUGUCACCCNUACCUGAAUACAUAGGGUNNGGGGGGGAACGCGGGGAAGUGAAACAUCUCAGUACCCGUAGGAAGAGAAAACAAUUGUGAUUCCGUUAGUAGUGGCGAGCGAACGCGGAGGAUGGCUAAACCGUAUGCAUGUGAUACUCGGCAGGGGUUGUGUGUGCGGUGUUGUGGGACGUUUCGUCUUCGGUCUGCCGGCCGGGGCGGGAGUGAUAAACCGUGGUGUUAGGUGAAGUGGCCUGGGAUGGUCUGCCGUAGUGGGUGAGAGCCCCGUAACUGAAAACAUCACGGCUCCUGUGGAACUGUUCCCGAGUAGCAGCGGGCCCGUGGAAUCUGCUGUGAAUCUGCCGGGACCACCCGGUAAGCCUGAAUACUUCUCAGUGACCGAUAGCGGAUUAGUACCGUGAGGGAAUGGUGAAAAGUACCCCGGGAGGGGAGUGAAAGAGUACCUGAAACCGUGCGCUUACAAUCCGUCAGAGCCNUCGACUUUGUUGUGGGGUGAUGGCGUGCCUUUUGAAGAAUGAGCCUGCGAGUCAGGGACAUGUCGCGAGGUUAACCCGGGUGGGGUAGCCGUAGCGAAAGCGAGUCUGAAUAGGGCGUAUCCAUGAUCUACCCAUGGCCAGGGUGAAGCGCGGGUAAGACCGCGUGGAGGCCCGAACCCACUUAGGUUGAAGACUGAGGGGAUGAGUUGUGGGUAGGGGUGAAAGGCCAAUCAAACUCCGUGAUAGCUGGUUCUCCCCGAAAUGCAUUUAGGUGCAGCGUUGCGUGUUUCUUGCCGGAGGUAGAGCUACUGGAUGGCCGAUGGGCCCUACUAGGUUACUGACGUCAGCCAAACUCCGAAUGCCGGUAAGUGAAAGCGUGGCAGUGAGACGGCGGGGGAUAAGCUCCGUGCGUCGAGAGGGAAACAGCCCAGAUCGCCGGCUAAGGCCCCUAAGCGUGUGCUAAGUGGAAAAGGAUGUGCAGUCGCAGAGACAACCAGGAGGUUGGCUUAGAAGCAGCCACCCUUGAAAGAGUGCGUAAUAGCUCACUGGUCAAGUGAUUGUGCGCCGAUAAUGUAGCGGGGCUCAAGCACACCGCCGAAGCCGCGGCAAUACACGUUUGUGUAUUGGGUAGGGGAGCGUCCUGCACNCCGGUGAAGCAGCCUGGUAAUGGAGCUGUGGAGGGUGUGGGAGUGAGAAUGCAGGCAUGAGUAGCGAUAAGGCAAGUGAGAACCUUGCCCGCCGAAAGACCAAGGGUUCCUGGGCCAGGCCAGUCCGCCCAGGGUGAGUCGGGACCUAAGGCGAGGCCGACAGGCGUAGUCGAUGGACAACGGGUUGAUAUUCCCGUACCCGUGUAUAAGCGUCCCUGAUGAAUCUGGUAGUAGUCAAGCGAUGGGGUGACGCAGGUAGGUAGCCGUACCAGUCAGUGGUAAUACUGGGGUAAACCUGUAGGGAGAAACGUAGGCAAAUCCGCGUUUCAUAUAUCCUGAGAGGUGAUGCAUAGCCGAGUGAGGCGAAUUCGGUGAUCCUUUGCUGCCAAGAAAAGCCUCUAGCGAGCGUAUACACGGCCCGUACCCCAAACCAACACAGGUGGUCAGGUAGAGAAUACCAAGGCGUACGAGUGAACUAUGGUUAAGGAACUCGGCAAAAUACCCCCGUAACUUCGGGAGAAGGGGGACCCCCUACUGUCAUCACCCGUGCGGUGGGCAGCGGUGGGGGGUGGCACAAACCAGUGAGAAGCGACUGUUUACUAAAAACACAGGUCCGUGCGAAGUCGCAAGACGAUGUAUACGGACUGACGCCUGCCCGGUGCUGGAAGGUUAAGAGGACCCGUUAACUCCCCUUGGGGGGUGAAGCGGAGAAUUUAAGCCCCAGUAAACGGCGGUGGUAACUAUAACCAUCCUAAGGUAGCGAAAUUCCUUGUCGGGUAAGUUCCGACCUGCACGAAUGGCGUAACGACUUCUCAACUGUCUCAACCAUAGACUCGGCGAAAUUGCACUACGAGUAAAGAUGCUCGUUACGCGCGGCAGGACGAAAAGACCCCGGGACCUUCACUAUAGCUUGGUAUUGGCGUUCGAUACGGUUUGUGUAGGAUAGGUGGGAGACUGUGAAACUCACACGCCAGUGUGGGUGGAGUCAUUGUUGAAAUACCACUCUGAUCGUAUUGGACUUCUAACCUCGGACCGUAUAUCCGGUCCAGGGACAGUGCCUGGUGGGUAGUUUAACUGGGGCGGUUGCCUCCCAAAAUGUAACGGAGGCGCCCAAAGGUUCCCUCAACCUGGACGGCAAUCAGGUGUUGAGUGCAAGUGCACAAGGGAGCUUGACUGCGAGACGGACAUGUCAAGCAGGGACGAAAGUCGGGACUAGUGAUCCGGCACCCCCGAGUGGAAGGGGUGUCGCUCAACGGAUAAAAGGUACCCCGGGGAUAACAGGCUGAUCUUCCCCAAGAGUCCAUAUCGACGGGAUGGUUUGGCACCUCGAUGUCGGCUCGUCGCAUCCUGGGGCUGGAGCAGGUCCCAAGGGUUGGGCUGUUCGCCCAUUAAAGCGGCACGCGAGCUGGGUUUAGAACGUCGUGAGACAGUUCGGUCUCUAUCCGCCGCGCGCGUCAGAAACUUGAGGAAACCUGUCCCUAGUACGAGAGGACCGGGACGGACGAACCUCUGGUACACCAGUUGUCCCACCAGGGGCACCGCUGGAUAGCCACGUUCGGACAGGAUAACCGCUGAAAGCAUCUAAGCGGGAAACCUNUUCCAAGACCAGGCUUCUCACCCAUUNAGUGGGAUAAGGCCCCCCGCAGACCACGGGAUCGAUAGACCAGACCUACACGCACCGCAAGGUGUUCAGGGAACUGGCACUAACCGGCCGAAAACUUACAACAACC